rnacentral:rRNA from 1 species
UGGACAUCCGGCAGCUACCAUGCAGUCGAGGGGUAUAAUUAGCUUGCUAAUUAGAGACCGGCGCACGGGUGAGUAACGCGUAUGCAACCUACCUAUUACAGGGGAAUAGCCAGAAGAAAUUCUGAUUAAUGCUCCAUGGUUUACUUGAAUGGCAUCAUUUGAUUAAUAAAGAUUUAUCGGUAAUAGAUGGGCAUGCGUGUCAUUAGCUAGUUGGUAUGGUAACGGCAUACCAAGGCAACGAUGACUAGGGGUCCUGAGAGGGAGGUCCCCCACACUGGUACUGAGACACGGACCAGACUCCUACGGGAGGCAGCAGUGAGGAAUAUUGGUCAAUGGAGGCAACUCUGAACCAGCCAUGCCGCGUGCAGGAUGACGGUCCUAUGGAUUGUAAACUGCUUUUGUACAGGAAGAAAUGUUACUACGUGUAGUAAUUUGACGGUACUGUAAGAAUAAGGAUCGGCUAACUCCGUGCCAGCAGCCGCGGUAAUACGGAGGAUCCGAGCGUUAUCCGGAAUUAUUGGGUUUAAAGGGUUCGUAGGCGGUUGGAUAAGUCAGUGGUGAAAUCUCAUAGCUUAACUAUGAAACUGCCGUUGAUACUGUCUGACUUGAAUAGUAUGGAAGUAACUAGAAUAUGUAGUGUAGCGGUGAAAUGCUUAGAUAUUACAUGGAAUACCAAUUGCGAAGGCAGGUUACUACGUACUUAUUGACGCUGAUGAACGAAAGCGUGGGUAGCGAACAGGAUUAGAUACCCUGGUAGUCCACGCCGUAAACGAUGGAUACUAGCUGUUCGGACUUCGGUUUGAGUGGCUAAGCGAAAGUGAUAAGUAUCCCACCUGGGGAGUACGUUCGCAAGAAUGAAACUCAAAGGAAUUGACGGGGGCCCGCACAAGCGGUGGAGCAUGUGGUUUAAUUCGAUGAUACGCGAGGAACCUUACCAGGGCUUAAAUGUAGAUUGACAGGUUUGGAACAGACUUUUCUUCGGACAAUUUACAAGGUGCUGCAUGGUUGUCGUCAGCUCGUGCCGUGAGGUGUCAGUUAAGUCCUAUAACGAGCGCAACCCCUAUUGUUAGUUACCAGCGCGUUAAGGCGGGGACUCUAGCAAGACUGCCGGUGCAACCGUGAGAAGGUGGGGGAUGACGUCAAUCAUCACGCCUUACCGUCCUGGGGCUACACACGUGGCUACAAUGGCCAAGG